UUAAAUGGCCGCGGUAAUUUGACCGUGCUAAGGUAGCAUAAUCAUUAGUUUUUUAAUUGAAAGCUGGAAUGAAUGGUGGGAUGAAAAAAUAUCUGUCUCUUUUUAAUUUGUUGAAAUUUAUUUUUAAGUAAAAAAGCUUAAAUUUUUUUAAAAGACGAGAAGACCCUAUAGAGUUUUAUAAAUUAUUUUAAUUUUAUUAUUUAGUAUUUAAUAUAAAAUAAUUUUAAUUUAUUUGGUUGGGGUGAUUAAAAAAUUUAAUUAACUUUUUUUAUAUAAAAAUAUGUUAAAUAAGUAAUUGAUCCAGAUGUUUUGAUUAUAAGAUUAAAUUACCUUAGGGAUAACAGCGUAAUUUUAUUGGAGAGUU
rnacentral:rRNA from 1 species